rnacentral:rRNA from 1 species
CCUACGGGGCGCUGCAGUGAGGAAUAUUGGUCAAUGGGCGGGAGCCUGAACCAGCCAAGUCGCGUGAGGGAAGACGGUCCUAUGGAUUGUAAACCUCUUUAGGCGGGGAGCAAUGCCGGGCACGCGUGCCCGGAGGGAGAGUACCCGCAGAAUAAGCAUCGGCUAACUCCGUGCCAGCAGCCGCGGUAAUACGGAGGAUGCGAGCGUUAUCCGGAUUUAUUGGGUUUAAAGGGUGCGUAGGCGGAUUUUUAAGUCAGCGGGAAAAUGGCCGGGCUCAACCCGGGCCGGCCGUUGAAACUGGGGAUCUUGAGUGGGCGAGAAGUAUGCGGAAUGCGUGGUGUAGCGGUGAAAUGCAUAGAUAUCACGCAGAACUCCGAUUGCGAAGGCAGCAUACCGGCGCCCGACUGACGCUGAGGCACGAAAGCGUGGGGAUCGAACAGGAUUAGAUACCCCAGUAGUC